UACGUAGGGUGCGAGCGUUAAUCGGAAUUACUGGGCGUAAAGCGUGCGCAGGCGGUUUUGCAAGCCGGAUGUGAAAUCCCCGGGCUUAACCUGGGAAUGGCAUUUGGGACUGCAAGGCUGGAGUGCGGCAGAGGAGACUGGAAUUCCUGGUGUAGCAGUGAAAUGCGUAGAUAUCAGGAGGAACACCGAUGGCGGAAGGCAGGUCUCUGGGCUGACACUGACGCUCAUGCACGAAAGCGUGGGGAGCGAAACAAGGAUUG
rnacentral:rRNA from 1 species